CGUAGGGUGCAAGCGUUAAUCGGAAUUACUGGGCGUAAAGCGUGCGCAGGCGGUGAUGUAAGACAGUUGUGAAAUCCCCGGGCUCAACCUGGGAACUGCAUCUGUGACUGCAUCGCUGGAGUGCGGCAGAGGGGGAUGGAAUUCCGCGUGUAGCAGUGAAAUGCGUAGAUAUGCGGAGGAACACCGAUGGCGAAGGCAAUCCCCUGGGCCUGCACUGACGCUCAUGCACGAAAGCGUGGGGAGCAAACAGGAUUAGAUACCCUGGUAGUCCACGCCCUAAACGAUGUCAACUGGUCGUUGGGAAUUCACUUUCUCAGUAACGAAGCUAACGCGUGAAGUUGACCGCCUGGGGAGUACGGCCGCAAGGUUG
rnacentral:rRNA from 1 species